rnacentral:rRNA from 1 species
AUGCCUUAACACAUGCAAGUCGAACGAACUCUUCGGGACUUAGUGGCGGAGGGGUGAGUAACGCGUGAGAAUCUGCCUUCAGGUCGGGGACAACGACGGGAAACGGUCGCUAAUACCCGAUGUGCCGAGAGGUGAAAGGUUAACUGCCUGAAGAUGACCUCGCGUCCAAUUAGCUAGUUGGGGGGGUAAGAGCCUACCAAGGCAGUGAUCGGUAGCUGGUUUGAAAGGACAAUCACCCACACUGGAACUGAAACACGGCCCAAACUCCUACGGGAGGCACCAGGGGGGAAUUUUCCGCAUUGGGCGAAAGCCUGACGGACCAUUACCGCGGGAGGAACAAAGGCCUGUGGGUUGUAAACCUCUUUUCUCAUGAAAAAAAAUCUGACGGUACCUGAAGAAUCACCAUCUGCUAACUCCGUGCCAGCCGCCGCGGUAAGACGGAGGAUGCAAGCGUUAUCCGGAAUUAUUGGGCGUAAAGCGUCCGCAGGCGGUCUCAUAAGUCUGUCUUUAAAGCGUGGACCUUAACUCCAUAAAGGUUAUGGAAACUGCUAUACUAUAGGUAAGUAGGGGUAGAAAGAAUUCCCGGUGUAGCGAUGAAAUGCGUAAAUCUUGGGAGGAACACCAAAGGCAAAAGCACUUCA